GACGAACGCUGGCGGCGUGCUUAACACAUGCAAGUCGAACGACGUGGCGAACGGGUGAGUAAUACGUGUGGAACAUGCCCUCCUUUCUGGGAUAAGCCUUGGGAACGGGGUCUAAUACCCGAAUAUGGGGGAUGGGCACGCGGCCUAUGAGCUUGUUGGGGGGGGGAUGGCCUCCCUAGGCGGUGACGGGUAGCCGGCCUGAGAGGGUGACCGGCGACUUUGGGACUUGGCUACGGCCCAGACUCCGACGGGAGGCAGCAGUGGGGGAUAUUGCCCAAUGGGCGAAAGCCUGAUGCAGCGAGGCCGCGGAGGGGUUGAAGGCUUUCGAGUUGUAAACCUCGUUCGCUAGCGAACGGGUAGGUGGAGAAGAAGCGCCGGCUAACUACGUGCCAGCCGCCGCGGUAAUAC
rnacentral:rRNA from 1 species